rnacentral:lncRNA from 1 species
ACAAGACUAUACAAAGGAUCUACAUCAUACAUUCCAACACAUUCAUACAUAAACAUCAUACAUUCCAAUACAUUCAUACAUAAACAUCAUACAUUCCAACACAUUCAUACAUAAACAUCAUACAUUCCAACACAUCCAUACAUAAGCCAACUGUGCUUCGAAAGGGUUCAACACACUUUGUGUCAUUCGACAUUUGCCACAAUGUGCCUUGACACAUUGCCCUUAUUCUCACCAACUAGGUGAUGAAGGAACUCACCUUCGUGCCACCAACUAGGUGAUGAAAUGUACAACCCGUACUCUGAUAUUAUUUGGAAACUUGCCACCCUUAUCACUAAUCAGGUGAAGAAGGAACUCAUCUUCAUGCCACCAACCAGGUGAUGAAAUGUACAACGUGUACUCUCCUUCAUGCCACCAACCAGGUGAUGAAAUGUACAACGUGUACUCUCCUUCAUGCCACCAACCAGGUGAUGAAAUGUACAACGCGUACUCUCCUUCAUGUCACCAACCAGGUGAUGAAAUGUGAUGAAAGGUGAUUAAGGAAUCCACAUUCGUACCACCAACCAAGUGAUGAAAGUAACCCACCAUUCAUUCCACUAACCAGAAGACGAGUGGUACAACUUGUACAUGUGAACUCCUAGCAUUCACAAAUAAUAAAAAACCCUCAAGCUUUACAACUCAACUAGGGGAGCACUUAUGCUUAACAAGAGCUAUAGUCAUCAACAAAGUCUUAUUGCAAGCCAACAAUGGCUUCAGUGCAUGGUAUACGAAGAUCAAGCUCUUCAGCCCUC